UACGUAGGUGGCAAGCGUUGUCCGGAUUUAUUGGGUUUAAAGGGUGCGUAGGUGGCGCUGUAAGUCGGGUGUGAAAUUUCGGAGCUUAACUCCGAAACUGCAUUCGAUACUGCGGUGCUCGAGGACUGGAGAGGAGACUGGAAUUCAUGGUGUAGCAGUGAAAUGCGUAGAGAUCAUGAGGAAGACCAGUGGCGAAGGCGGGUCUCUGGACAGUUCCUGACACUGAGGCACGAAGGCCAGGGGAGCAAACGGG
rnacentral:rRNA from 1 species